rnacentral:lncRNA from 1 species
AAAUAUCUUCUUCAUUAAAUGGCAAAAGACUCUUAUGCCCUUGUUUUUUAUAUAUCUAAACCUUAAACCAUCAACACUAAACCCUAAACUAUCAACACUAAACACUAAACCCUAAAAAAUUAACCCUAAACCUUAAAACAUCAACUCUGAACCCUAUAUCUUAAACCUUCAACUCUAAACCCUAAACUCUAAACCCUAAACCCUAAAACCCUAGAGUUGAUGUUUUAGGGUUUAGAUUUGAAGGUUUAGGAUUUUAGGGAUUAGGGUUUACGUUUAGGGUUUAGAGUUGAUGUUUGAGGCUUUAGAUUUGAAAGUUUAGGGUUUUAGGGUUUACGUUUAGGGUUUAGAGUUGAUGUUUUAGGGUUUAGAUUUGAAGGUUUAGGGUUUAGGGUUUAGAGUUGAUGUUUCAGGGUUUAGGUUUUAGAGUUGAUGUUUCCCGGUUUAGGGUUUAGAGUUGAUGUUUUAGGGUUUAAAGUUGAUGUUUUAAGUUUAGAUUUAGGGCUUAGAGUUUACGUUUAGAGUUUAGAGUUGAUGUUUUAGGGUUUAGAUUUGAAGGUUUAGGGUUUAGGGUUUAGGGUUUAGAGUUGAUGUUUUGGGGUUUAGGGUUUAGAGUUGAUGUUUCAUGGUUUAGAAUUGAUGAUUUAGGGUUUAGAGAUGUUUUAAGUUUAGAUUAGUUAACUAUAUGUUUUUUUUUGUCAAAGUUGAUCAAAAAGUUAUAAAUGUCUUUAAAUCUUCAUUAAAGAUGAGGGUAAAAAUGGUUACUGUAAACAUGAAAUGUUGUAC